rnacentral:rRNA from 1 species
ACGCGGGUUAGGUAUUCUACUAUCUAAUGUAGACGGAACCCCCGGUUAAAGGCGGCCUUAACGUGAGGGUCCUAAGGUAGCGAAAUGCCUUGGCCGUUAAAUGCGGUCUCGCAUGAAUGGUGUAACGAUACAACAGCUGUCUCUAUGAUUGACUCAGUGAAAUUGGAAUAGCUGUGCAGAUACAGCUUACCUCUAGUUAGACGAGAAGACCCUAUGCAGCUUUACUGUCACUAAUUAUAGAAUAGGAUCAACAAUUUUCAGAUAUAAGGGAAUAGAUAAUAUAAUCCUGGAAACCCUUUAAUUUUUUUCUUAUGAAGGAACUAGUUUAAGGGUAUGAAUAUUUUAUAGCAAAAAUACCUUUGGCUAUUUUUAUUAUAAUAAUUUAUAAGAUUAAACUAACCUAAUUCUGCUUAUCUGGAGUUCUUAUCUUUAUGGUAAGUUCUCAAUUUAAGGAUAAGUAACCUUUGGUAAGGAACUAUUGCUAGGAGACAGUUUAUGUGGGGCACAGACCCUGUAAAGAGUAAACAGGUGUGUCUAAUAAUUUAAAUAACAAUUUUGUUUGCAAUUUUGAGUAGUAUUAUACUAUUAUUAAUCAUAUAAAUUAAAUAUAUUGAUAGCAAUAUCAAUAUAUUUAUUUUUUUAUAGGUAAGAUUUUCACUACAGUGAAAGUAGAGAUAACAUGAAAUAUU